UGUGUGUGUGUGUGUGUGUAUAAACUUGACUUUCAUUUUAAUGUCUCAAAAUGAAAGUCAAGUAACUAUUCUUCAAGAUCAAAAUGAAAGUCUCAAAAUGAAAUGCAGUUAAAAUUUAAUUUGAUUAUACGUUAUUAAUCUUAACUUAAAAUAAUUUAAAUUGAUUUUUAUAAACUCAUAAAGAAUAACUAUGUUACAUUUAUUUUUUUAACUUAAAAUAGGAUUUUAAAAAAAAAUGCAAAUGCAAAAGAUCAAUAAAAAAAACCCUAAAUUAGAUUUAAACUCAUUAACCAUUAGCCUAUUUUAAGCACCAUCCAUUAGCCACAUUGGAGAUACACAGCCAAUACACAGACAUAGACACGUUUUAUUAUUGAGAGCAUAGGCAGCCACAGCCAGCCAGGUACAUCUACUUUAUGUCUUCUCUUCUUUUUCUUCUUCUUCCUUUUUAUUUUUUUUUCAGUGGUUGUCUUUGAUGGGUAGGCUGCUUCUUCUCCUCGUCCACCUCUUUUUUUUUUCCUUCUUGUUUUUGGUCUUCUUCUUCCCCACCUCACCCAAGCGCGCCUUGCACCUCACCGUGCCUUGCUGCGCUUGGGUGAGGCCACACACCUUUCUAAGGGCAAGGCGCAGCCCCUUGCAACCUAUGCGCCUUGCGCCUCAAGCGCGCCUUUCACAACACUGGUUUUAAGGCCAUGUGUUGAGCACUUGGUUAAGGUAACAUAUAUGUAGGGGUUAGCUGCCACCACAUGAAACUUCAAUUGCAUCAAGUUAAAUUGUGGAGACAGAGAAAAGAGAGAGUAGGGAAAAUAUAUAUAUACAUAUAUAUACUUGGUAAAAAAUAUUACCUUAAACAUGAUUACACUGGCCA
rnacentral:misc_RNA from 1 species